CAAAGGUUUGGUCCUGGCCUUAUAAUUAGUUGGAAGUAAAAUUACACAUGCAAAUAUCCUUACACCAGUGUCAAAUCCCUUAAAAUUUUAAUCUUAAAUUUAAGGAGAGGGUAUCAAGUUCAUUAUCUAUAGCUUAAGACACCUUGCCAAGCCACACCCCCACGGGACGCAGCAGUGAUAAAAAUUUAGCAAUAAACGAAAGUUUGACUAAGUUAUACUUCCAAGGGUUGGUAAAUUUCGUGCCAGCCACCGCGGUCAUACGAUUAACCCAAACUAAUUAAUUCGGCGUAAAAAGUGACUUACAUACAAAUAGAAUUAAAAAUCAACUAAUAUGUGAAAAUUCAUCGUUGAAUCUAAAAUCACUAACGAAAGUAAUUCUAAUCAAUUUUAAGCCACGAAAGCUAAGACCCAAACUGGGAUUAGAUACCCCACUAUGCUUAGCCCUAAACUUAAAUAGUUAUUUAACAAAACUAUUUGCCAGAGAACUACUAGCCACAGCCUAAAACUCAAAGGACUUGGCGGUACUUUACAUCCAUCUAGAGGAGCCUGUUCUAUAAUCGAUAUACCCCGUUCUACCUCACCAUCUCUUGCUAAUCCAGUCUAUAUACCGCCAUCUUCAGCAAACCUUAAAAAAGAAACACAGUAAGCAAGAUAAUAACCAUAAAAACGUUAGGUCAAGGUGUAACCCAUGAGAUGGAAAGCAAUGGGCUACAUUUUCUCUCAGAGAACAUUCACGCUACCCUUUAUGAAACCUAAAGGACCAAGGAGGAUUUAGUAGUAAAUUAAGAAUAGAGAGCUUAAUUGAAUAGAGCAAUGAAGUACGCACACACCGCCCGUCACCCUCCUCAAACUAGACAAGUCCAUAAAAAUAUAUACAUAAUACAACAGACUAACCUACGAGAGGAGAUAAGUCGUAACAAGGUAAGCAUACUGGAAAGUGUGCUUGGA
rnacentral:ncRNA from 1 species